UGGCCAUGCAGGCGACGCGGGUUGCAGGGAACGGAGGUGCAGGGGGCGGCGGCGGGGGCGGCGGCGAAAGGGGACGGGCUUGCGUGGCCCCGCGCGGGGGCUAAGGGGCUGCAGGCCAACCCACCGUCCCGGGCACUUGGGACUCAGGAGGGCGGGGCGGGGCGGGGCGGCCCGCGUGGGGAGUGCCUGAGGCUGGCCUAGGCCCUGGGACCGUAGCCUCCCGAGCAGGGUGGGCUCCACGCGAACGGCGGGCGCUGGCAGAAAGCGACCCACGCAGAGUUCCGCGCCAGCCGAGGGGCCCGGCUGCCGCCCAUGCGCGGUCCUGGAGGUGCCGGGAGGGGGUCGCGGACCCUGAGGCAGGAUCCACGUGGUCCCUGCGGGCCCAGUGAGUGACAUCACCGCGACGCUGCGCAUGGAGCAAGCUCUACACCCGGGAGAUGGCCACGGUGCGCAUGCAGCAAGGUCUACUCCCGCGAGGUGACCACGGGACAGACGAUCCUCUGAGGUUUCCAGGAAGACCCCCGCCCUAAUCCUCUGAAGGUCGGAGGUCACAGGUCAAAGCCGAGAACAGAAGCUGGGGUGGGGCACACAGAGGUGGAAAGAGGGGCCUGAGCAUCGGGCGGCCACCAGCAGGGUCCCCUCCUGGCCACAAGGACGCUCCCGUUCCAGUCCCCGGAAGAGGGUGGCUGCAGCCACCCCGGGGAUGACCAGCAGAGGUCCUCACGGCCUGCGGCCCGGGGAGACCUGAGACUCCUAAGCUGAGCACGUCAGCGUCUCUACCUCCACCGCAGACAGAAAGACCGGGCGGACCCAAGACUGCAAGCUCAAGCCCUGGCGGCAGGGCAGCGGGGCCUGUGAGGGCCGAGGGUGGACGCUGCUCUGAGCCAGACCCGCUCGUCAGCAGCUCGGCCUCCCCCGCUGCUCCCCACCAGCGCCCGGGCUUGGGUGUUUGGUGCUUCCAACUUUUCAAGAGAAGCUUGAAAUCUGUAAUUCUUAUGUGAAAUCCUGCCUUUCUUAACUAAUUAAAGACUUAAAAUUAGCUAGUUAAAAUUAAUUAAAAUUGAUUAAAUUUGUACUAAUUAAAACUAACUGAAUUCUUCUCAAAACACCGUGCAGACGAAACCAGUCAGUGACACACCUGUCUGCAGCCAUAGCACCAGGAGACAUGGGGUGGGGGCCAGGGACAUGGCCGGAGCUGCCACAGACAGGACAGAACA
rnacentral:lncRNA from 10 species